rnacentral:miRNA from 1 species
UCUCGUGACAUGAUGAUCCCCGA